rnacentral:rRNA from 1 species
CCUACGGGAGGCAGCAGUGGGGAAUAUUGGGCAAUGGGCGCAAGCCUGACCCAGCAACGCCGCGUGAAGGAAGAAGGCUUUCGGGUUGUAAACUUCUUUUAAGGGGGAAGAGCAGAAGACGGUACCCCUUGAAUAAGCCACGGCUAACUACGGGCCAGCAGCCGCGGUAAUACGGAGGUGGCAAGCGUUGUCCGGAUUUACUGGGUGUAAAGGGCGUGCAGCCGGAGAGACAAGUCAGAUGUGAAAUCCACGGGCUCAACCUCUUCGAGCCGUUGAAACUGGUUUUCUUGAGUGAGCGCGCUGUCUGCGGACUGCGUGGUGUAGCGGUGAAAUGCCUAGAUCUCACGCAGCACUCCGAUUGCGAAGGCAGCAUCCCGGCGCUCAACUGCCGCUCAUGCACGAAAGUGUGGGUAUCGAACCGGAUUAGAUACCCUAGUAGUC